AUUGAACGCUGGCGGCAUGCCUUACACAUGCAAGUCGAACGGCAGCACGGGAGCAAUCCUGGUGGCGAGUGGCGAACGGGUGAGUAAUAUAUCGGAACGUGCCCAGUCGUGGGGGAUAACGUAGCGAAAGCUACGCUAAUACCGCAUACGAUCUAUGGAUGAAAGCGGGGGAUCGCAAGACCUCGCGCGAUUGGAGCGGCCGAUAUCAGAUUAGGUAGUUGGUGAGGUAAAGGCUCACCAAGCCGACGAUCUGUAGCUGGUCUGAGAGGACGACCAGCCACACUGGGACUGAGACACGGCCCAGACUCCUACGGGAGGCAGCAGUGGGGGAAUUUUUGGACAAUGGGCGCAAGCCUGAUCCAGCAAUGCCGCGUGCAGGAUGAAGGCCUUCGGUGUAACUAGCUUUUGUUACGGUAACGG
rnacentral:rRNA from 1 species